CCCCCAGAGACCUUAAAAGCCCCUGGGAGUUUCAAAUAAACCACUUUUAGCCACUGGAAUCCAGAGAAGGAACUUCGUGGCUCUUUUCUCCUAGUGAAGGGGGGUCACGCCACCGAAACUUUCUCUGAGAAGCUGCGAGCAAAGAUUCGCUAGCAAUCAGCUCUGUUAAUAAUUUAUAUAUCUUUGAAUCUUUCUUCAGAAAAUAUGGUUUCCUAAUAUACAGAAUAAGCUGGAUUCAGAAAACCUUUUUUAUAUCUAAAAUGUCAGAAGAUUAGAGAAGAAAUUCAUCAGUGAAUGUUUCACUCAGUGGCCCCAUCUAAUGAACCUCCUCUAAGGAAGAUGACAUCAGAACAAGUUAAGAGCAUGUGUUCCUAAUGCAUGAAAGACUGUGGGACAUUUACCCACCACCUCUACUAAAGAUCUGUAAGCAGUGUACUGAAAGAAAGAUCUCUAUAUUCAAUCGGCUGAAUAUUUCUGUGUCAUCAAGCAUUAAAGCUUUAUGACUUGAAUGAUGCCAGUAAUAGAGGGGAAACAUAUUUGUCUCUCUUCACUGUCACUGAUGACACAGAUAAGUAAAAUGGAUGUACUGAAAACAUGUGUGUUCCUUCCUUGCUGGCAUGUUUCUUUCCUCUUUUCUCUGAGCUUUUGCUUCUCUGUCACAAGGUUUCAGAUCCCUAGGAACACAACACCCAAGAAAAUCCUUCCACAGUGAAUAGAAAGGAAGUCAAACAAUGGAGAGUGCAAAAUAAUGCCAAACAAAGAAUAAAGAAUAAAUAAAGAAAGAAUAUUAAGAAAAGAAACAAUGCAGAAAAUUUUCACCCUGUCAGUAGAGAAGACUACUUUUUUCAUGCAAUUACAGAAAAAGGCACAUAUGAAAACUUGUCUUUUUCAGAUUUAUUCAUGUUACACUUUUUCUCAUUUUACAAAUAACAAGAAGUAUGUAGUAUUUUGUAAAAGAUCACUGCUUAAAAGAUCACAGUUUUUGAGCACUAUUUUUUAAGUUUGUAAAGUUUUGUAACAGCAGCAGAGGUUGAUAGCAAGAGUAUUAGUGGGAAGAAGAACUGAAUAUGACAGGGAAGUUUGUGGAGUCUUUUGUCUCCUUUAGACUUGAUAUAUUUCAGUACUUCAACUGUUUCUAAAUACUUUUUUUUCUUUAAGAGUUUUAGUAUUCAGUUAUGCAAUAUUGCACUUCAGGUAAUCUUAUGUGUAAAUGAAUCUGUAGCAUUGAUGCUAAUAUGUAGUUUAAUUUGUUAGACGCAAUCUUGGAAAGUCAUAAACUCACUUUGCAUCUUUAUCUACUCAUAUAUUAAAGAAGUAUAAUUUAUAAUAAACAUCUGCUUUACAAUACUGAUGUGACAGAAGGCAUUAGACAAGGAAAAUUGACUGUAGGUGCGAGACACCAAACACAAAUAUGUAUGUAUAUAAGUAAGCCAUUAAAUAUAGCUGACUGA